UACGGAGGGAGCUAGCGUUGUUCGGAAUUACUGGGCGUAAAGCGCACGUAGGCGGCUUUGUAAGUUAGGGGUGAAAGCCCGGUGCUCAACACCGGAAUAGCCUUUAAGACUGCAUCGCUUGAAUCCGGGAGAGGUGAGUGGAAUUCCGAGUGUAGAGGUGAAAUUCGUAGAUAUUCGGAAGAACACCAGUGGCGAAGGCGGCUCACUGGACCGGUGUUGACGCUGAGGUGCGAAAGCGUGGGGAGCAAACAGG
rnacentral:rRNA from 1 species